UGCGCGGCUGGCGUUAGCGGCUGCAGUUGGAGGUUGGUGCGGCGAGCGGCUUCCAUCUAGCCCUCGCCUGCUGAUCCGCUCCCUCCCUGGGAUUGUUUCGGAGUUGCAGCGCUUGGACGCUCUGCUGUCUUGUCUUGCCAGUGUUUGUGUGGGCCGCUCUCGACAAAGCCCGCGGACGCUUGGACUGGCUGAACGAGCGGGGCACGACUCCUCUGGCCCAGCGAAAAGACGUUCGAAGUUGGACAACGACAAUUUGUCCCAUCGUUUGCAGUGUCCAGCGUAGCCUACAUAUUUUUCGCUGCUGGAGAAAGUGCUGCCGCUCUCCAUCAGCAGUCCUCAUCAACAGCAACAGGCUCUGGAGACUGCCUAUGGUGGUGCUGCUGGCUCCACCGGCUCGGCGGGCAUCUCCCCUUCCCGGUGUCAAGGUCAGAAGAAUGUAGCGCGCGGAGCGCUAGCUGCAUGAGGGCACGAGUACGGCGCGAUACUAGAGGUUCAUCAAUGUGCAGCUCCACUUACUUGCUUA